rnacentral:rRNA from 1 species
CCUACGGGAGGCAGCAGUGAGGAAUAUUGGUCAAUGGACGAGAGUCUGAACCAGCCAAGUAGCGUGAAGGAUGACUGCCCUAUGGGUUGUAAACUUCUUUUAUAUGGGAAUAAAAUGUUCCACGUGUGGGAUUUUGUAUGUACCAUAUGAAUAAGGAUCGGCUAACUCCGUGCCAGCAGCCGCGGUAAUACGGAGGAUCCGAGCGUUAUCCGGAUUUAUUGGGUUUAAAGGGAGCGUAGGUGGAUUGUUAAGUCAGUUGUGAAAGUUUGCGGCUCAACCGUAAAAUUGCAGUUGAAACUGGCAGUCUUGAGUACAGUAGAGGUGGGCGGAAUCCGUGGUGUAGCGGUGAAAUGCUUAGAUAGCACGAAGAACUCCGAUUGCGAAGGCAGUUCACUGGACUGCAACUGACACUGAGGCUCGAAAGUGUGGGUAUCAAACAGGAUUAGAUACCCUUGUAGUC